UGUUUUUUUCUAUAACUUUUAUUACUUUACUAUACCUAUUUUCAUCGAAAGUUACGGCUCAAGCUAAUCAAUUUAGAAUUGUGGGAGGUUUCGAUACCGACAUUUCGGAUGCUCCAUAUAUGGCCUCAUUGCGUGAGUUACGCAAGGAGAUUCGUGCACUGGGCAGUGGACAUUUUUGUGGUGGGACUAUUAUUAAAGAUCGUGUAAUUCUUACGGCAGCUCAUUGUUUAACUAAGUGGGUACGCCUCAGCGAAAAUGUUGCCUGUUCAUUCAGUUAAUUUUUGCUGCAGACGGAGCCCCGCCAAGGCAUUGGUUGUAGUGGGAUUCAAGUAUCUUUCCCUCAAUUGGCCGACGAUGAAGAAACUGAAAAUCUCAAAUUGGAAUUAUCAUAAAAAAUAUAGAAAGGAAAGAAAAGCAAUAUUCGAUAUUGGAUUGAUAUUCACAAUUGAAAAUAUAGAACCCGUUAAUGGGGCAAUCGCAUUUCUGCCCCUUAACACGGUGGAAAUAAGCCCUGGUACUAAAUGUCUAUUGUCUGGAUGGGGUCGAGUUGAGCACAAUGCACCCCAUAGAGCAAGUUGCCUGCAGUCAUUGUGGCAACGGAUUCUAGACAAAAGAGUAUGUUUUAAGAUCGCUAAUAGAUAUGACCUAUUGUGCACCAACUCAGGGCUUCCGACUGGGGCUAGUCGAGGUGAUUCAGGUGGUCCGCUGCGCUGCAACGAUAAACUUGCGGGUGUUAUCGCUGCCGGAGACCUACAUGGUCUCGCUUUAUAUACAGAUGUCCGGCCAUUUGCCGAUUGGAUAGAAGAACAGAUUAGGAAUGGAAUAAUGCCACUUGGCUCGUUUUGCAUUGGGAAGCACGUUGUUUUGGCCAUCAGCAUUUGUGUGGCCACCAUAUGCAAGUCGGGAUUUUAGACUCAGACUAAACCGAGUUACUUACAAUGACUUAUAAAUCAGUAGGCUUAUGAGUUUCGUUCAAUUAACAACUAAUAUUUCGAGAUUUAUAAAAUUCCAAAUUUCCUUGUCUGAAUUUUAGAAAACAAAUAUUAUGUCUCUAAUGCUAAUAUUGAUGAUUCAUAUCGUUUUAUUUUAUCCAUUGACAUCGGCGAAUGCUGCUUCAGACAAUGUUACUUUCAAAAUUAUAAACGGGUUUUCUUGCAACAUCAAGGAGACUCCCUAUCAGGUCUCACUGCGCUAUGCCUAUAGAGAGAGAAAACGAUGGGGCAGCGGCCAUUAUUGCGGUGGAACUAUUGUUAGCAAUCGUGCGAUUAUCACUGCAGCUCAUUGCCUAAGGGGGAGGCGCCAUAAGAAAGAAGUAGUAGUUGUAGUAGGAAACACUUUUCUAGACGACAGAUCUGCAACAACGAAGGAGCUGGAAAUCUUAUCUUGGCGUGUUCACCAAAAAUAUACUAAGCCAUUGAACGAUAUUGCAUUGAUCUUUACUGUCGAGCAUAUACAACCCAUUAGUGGGGCUAUUGAGAUUUUGCCCCUAAACACGAGGGAAGUCGACGUGGGUACCAGAUGUCUAGUAUCCGGCUGGGGUCAAGCCAAUCACUUUGUGCCAGAUCGCACGAAUGAUCUGAGGGCGCAAUGGAUACAGAUUGUCAGCCCUAAAAUCUGUAGGAAGCUCUAUCGUAUACCUAAAGUAAUUUGCGCCGGCGAUGAGUCCACUACUGGGCCCAGCUUUGGUGAUUCGGGGGGCCCGUUGAGGUGCGAAGAUAAAUUGUCGGGUAUCGUCUCUGUGGGAAGGCUUGAGGGUGGUCCGACCGCAUACACAAGUAUUCGGGAUUUAUACCCUUGGAUACGACGUGAGCUCAGUAGCUUCAAUGGAGCUCCGCCAAUGCGACCGUCUUGCAUCCAGAGACAGGUUGUUUUGGCCAUCACCAUUUAUAUGGUAACAAAAUGAUUCAUUCUGCUCUACGUAUUAAAACAUGUGGAAAUGAAGAAGUCCAGUCAAUAAGGAUCAGAGUGGACUUUUUAUAUAGUUUUUGAAGAAUUGAUACCAACUAAUGUGUAUUUAUAUUGAGGACUAUAACUUUUAUUAAAAUCAACUAUUAACUUGAAUGCAAUUCUCAAGGAAUAUUGAAAAUGACUCCAUAAAAGCUCCACCCAUCGGCAAACCCAUUGGUCAAAUUUGUUUACAUUCCGCUUGGAAACUGGGUCAUUGUGAGCGCGAGCGAGCGAGAUGGCAACAGCAAUGUUGUUAAGCGAUUGUUCGCCGCUGGGACGCAGCUUGAAAUCGCCAACACGAUGGCAACGUGGGACAUGCCCUACCAGCGGCGAUAACAACAAACUGAUCAAAAAAAAAUCAGCAUAACGUUCAAGCCGCUGUAAAUGCUCUAUCUCGUGGAACGAUAAUUGGCCAGAAAUCGCAACUAACUUCAAAUUAUUGUUCAUAUUUUUAUGGAAUGACCUAAGAAAUGGAAAGAAAUAAUUGUAAAUAAUUUUUAAUAUUAGUUUAGCG
rnacentral:misc_RNA from 1 species